rnacentral:rRNA from 1 species
UACAGAGGUCCCAAGCGUUGUUCGGAUUCACUGGGCGUAAAGCGUGCGUAGGUGGUCUUUUAAGUCCGUUGUGAAAGCCCUGGGCUCAACCUGGGAAUGGCAGUGGAUACUGGAAGGCUGGAGUACGGUAGAGGAGGGUGGAAUUCCCGGUGUAGCGGUGAAAUGCGUAGAGAUCGGGAGGAACAUCAGUGGCGAAGGCGGCCCUCUGGACCAGUACUGACGCUGAGGCACGAAAGCGUGGGGAGCAAACAGG